rnacentral:rRNA from 1 species
GUACACCCGGCUAACAUACCGAACGGUAUCCUUGCACGUUUUAACUUACAUCCCUCGUUAGGAUUCCUUUUCAAAGCUCCUCCGUGUGUACAUGGACCCGUACCCGCUUAGCUCUCACCCUUCCGCUGGCUUACCAAGGCAACGAUCAGUAGCCGACCUGAGAGGGUGAUCGGCCACACUGGAACUGAGACACGGUCCAAAUUUCUACGGGAGGCAGCAGUGGGGAAUAUUGCACAAUGGGCGAAAGCCUGAUGCAGCCACGCCGCGUGAGCGAUGAAGGCCUUCGCCCCGUAAAGCUCUGUCCUCAAGGAAGAUAAUGACGGUACUUGAGGAGGAAGCCCCGGCUAACUACGUGCCAGCAGCCGCGGUAAUACGUAGGGGGCUAGCGUUAUCCGGAAUUACUGGGUGUAAAGGGUGCGUAGGUGGUUUUUUAAGUCAGAAGUGAAAGGCUACGGCUCACCCGUAUUAAGCUUCCUGAAACUAAAGAACUUGAGUGCAGGAGAGGAGAGUACAAUUCCUAGUGUAGCGGUGAAAUGCGUAGAUAUUAGGAGGAAUACCAGUAGCGAAGGCGGCUCUCUGGACUGUAACUGACACUGAGGCACGAAAGCGUGGGGAGCAAACAGGAUUAGAUACCCUGGUAGUCCACGCCGUAAACGAUGAGUACUAGGUGUCGGGGGGUUACCCCCCUCGGUGCCGCAGCUAACGCAUUAAGUACUCCGCCUGGGAAGUACGCUCGCAAGAGUGCAACUCAAAGGAAUUGACGGGGACCCGCACAAGUAGCGGAGCAUGUGGUUUAAUUCGAAGCAACGCGAAGAACCUUCCCUAAGCUUGACAUCCCACUGACCUCUCCCUAAUCGGAGAUUUCCCUUCGGGGACAGUGGUGACAGGUGGUGCAUGGUUGUCGUCAGCUCGUGUCGUGAGAUGUUGGGUUAAGUCCCGCAACGAGCGCAACCCUUGCCUUUAGUUGCCAGCAUUAAGUUGGGCACUCUAGAGGGACUGCCGAGGAUAACUCGGAGGAAGGUGGGGAUGACGUCAAAUCAUCAUGCCCCUUAUGCUUAGGGCUACACACGUGCUACAAUGGGUGGUACAGAGGGUUGCCAAGCCGCGAGGUGGAGCUAAUCCCUUAAAGCCAUUCUCAGUUCGGAUUGUAGGCUGAAACUCGCCUACAUGAAGCUGGAGUUACUAGUAAUCGCAGAUCAGAAUGCUGCGGUGAAUGCGUUCCCGGGUCUUGUACACACCGCCCGUCACACCAUGGAAGUUGGGGGCGCCCGAAGCCGGUUAGC